UUACGGCCAUAUCACAUCGAAACACUAGUCCUCAUACGAUCACCGAAGUUAAGCAACAUCGAGCCUGGUUAGUAACUAAAUGAAUGACUACUUGGGAAAAACUGAUGCUGUAAG